rnacentral:rRNA from 1 species
CAGGGCGACGCUGGCGGCGUGCCUAAUACAUGCAAGUCGAACGCUUCUUUUCCCACCGGAGCUUGCUCCACCGGGAAAAGAGGAGUGGCGAACGGGUGAGUAACACGUGGGUAACCUGCCCAUCAGAAGGGGAUAACACUUGGAAACAGGUGCUAAUACCGUAUAACAAUCGAAACCGCAUGGUUUCGUUUUGAAAGGCGCUUUACGGUGCCGCUGAUGGAUGGACCCGCGGUGCAUUAGCUAGUUGGUGAGGUAACGGCUCACCAAGGCCACGAUGCAUAGCCGACCUGAGAGGGUGAUCGGCCACAUUGGGACUGAGACACGGCCCAAACUCCUACGGGAGGCAGCAGUAGGGAAUCUUCGGCAAUGGACGAAAGUCUGACCGAGCAACGCCGCGUGAGUGAAGAAGGUUUUCGGAUCGUAAAACUCUGUUGUUAGAGAAGAACAAGGGUGAGAGUAACUGUUCACCCCUUGACGGUAUCUAACCAGAAAGCCACGGCUAACUACGUGCCAGCAGCCGCGGUAAUACGUAGGUGGCAAGCGUUGUCCGGAUUUAUUGGGCGUAAAGCGAGCGCAGGCGGUUUCUUAAGUCUGAUGUGAAAGCCCCCGGCUCAACCGGGGAGGGUCAUUGGAAACUGGGAGACUUGAGUGCAGAAGAGGAGAGUGGAAUUCCAUGUGUAGCGGUGAAAUGCGUAGAUAUAUGGAGGAACACCAGUGGCGAAGGCGGCUCUCUGGUCUGUAACUGACGCUGAGGCUCGAAAGCGUGGGGAGCAAACAGGAUUAGAUACCCUGGUAGUCCACGCCGUAAACGAUGAGUGCUAAGUGUUGGAGGGUUUCCGCCCUUCAGUGCUGCAGCUAACGCAUUAAGCACUCCGCCUGGGGAGUACGACCGCAAGGUUGAAACUCAAAGGAAUUGACGGGGGCCCGCACAAGCGGUGGAGCAUGUGGUUUAAUUCGAAGCAACGCGAAGAACCUUACCAGGUCUUGACAUCCUUUGACCACUCUAGAGAUAGAGCUUCCCCUUCGGGGGCAAAGUGACAGGUGGUGCAUGGUUGUCGUCAGCUCGUGUCGUGAGAUGUUGGGUUAAGUCCCGCAACGAGCGCAACCCUUAUUGUUAGUUGCCAUCAUUUAGUUGGGCACUCUAGCAAGACUGCCGGUGACAAACCGGAGGAAGGUGGGGAUGACGUCAAAUCAUCAUGCCCCUUAUGACCUGGGCUACACACGUGCUACAAUGGGAAGUACAACGAGUCGCGAAGUCGCGAGGCUAAGCUAAUCUCUUAAAGCUUCUCUCAGUUCGGAUUGUAGGCUGCAACUCGCCUACAUGAAGCCGGAAUCGCUAGUAAUCGCGGAUCAGCACGCGCGGGGAAUAACGUUCCCGGGGCCUUUGUACACACCGCCCGUCAAACCACGAGAGUUUGAACACCCGAAGUCGGUGAGGUACC